GCACAAAACUCUACGCAGGACUCGAACCCACAAACGGACUGGGGAAAACAUGUCCUCCCUCUACCCAAGAGAAAUAUGCCUGUACAUGAUUCUUCAAACACAGAUUUCAUUUGCUAUUUUUCCUUGCCAAUGAUCUGAAUUCCUGAGAAGUCCAAGAACAAAACUGCCUUCGACCACGGUAAUAGUUGCUUAGGGAUCAUUGACCUUCAGUGCUUCUGUCGCUUAGAACCAUUUGGCAUAUUUGAUAUAAUUGUCGUGAAAGCAAGGUGAAUUUGAAGUGCCAGUCAAGAACAUUAGCAUAGCACGUUGAUCGUUCCCCCACCAUGUUCAGAUUGCAGCGAUUUCUCUCUGAAUUCAGGAUGUUUGGCAUUUGCAGUCUGUGGUUUGAUUUCACCAUGUGAAUUAAAAUGAAAACGCUUCACGUCACGUAAGCAACAGAUGUUCUAUGUGUGCAAAGUUGUGUAGUCUUGUAAUAACUAUCUUAAAUGUGAAAGAACUUCAAACGAUAAUAAUACUAGGUUAAUCCAAGAAGCAUUAGCAGUCUCCUCCUCACCCACCCUGAAAAGGGAAGCAUUUAUGUAACUAAUUAGUUUACCAUAGUAAAUAAUCCACUGACAUUUAUAAGAAGCAUUCCUAUUGGAGCCUCGAGUAAAUAUUAUGUUACAUGUUAAACUAUAAAUAGGAUGAAUUGUGGUCCCAGGCCCAGGUUUAAAAUGCUACGGAAAAUAAAUGAGCUCCAUCUGGGUAAAAUGGGUGUUACACGUCCUCCAUACACAAGUGUCCAAUUGCCCAGCUCGGGUUCCCUAUAGCUGUUGUGGAAACUUGACGAUUCAUCUCACUUUCCAGCGCAGCUCUGCAAGGUAGCUAAAAAAGAGUGAAUGUUUCUCUUGGGGGAAAAGAAAACAUAGAAGAGGAAAGAAAACAAAGUUUGUAACUGACUUAUGGAAGGCGAUUCUCUCUAGCUUUAAGUGAAUGGUGAAAACAGCAUUUCCUACAUAAGGCAAUUUUGAGUUUCUGCUUGCAGCUUAGAUGAUUUGAAAAGUUUAUGCAAGGAAAUCACGGUGCUCCAGAUCAUUUUAUUACACUUUAUCUUAGCCUCGAAGAUCUGUGCAUUUAGUGAUUUUCUUCAAAGCUGCACAUCAGGUAUAGCAAGAAUAAAGCCCAGGGUAGAAAAGUGGAUGAUGGAACAGGAUCUCUACAUAGAGAAAGCUUCUCAAGGCCAGAGAUUUAUGUGAAGCAUAAAGCUGGUGCUCCAUUUAAGGAAGGCCUAAUUAAGAGGGAGCGAGGAGGGGAAUAGAAAGGAGAACCAGUAUUUUUAGGGCUCACCCAGGCAUAGCCAAAGAAACAGCUGCCUUUCCAGAAUAUAAGAAAGCACUCACUUGCCCCAUUCCUGAAAUUCCUACCAUGAGAGCCAGACGUUCAAAUAAAAUCUUUCUCUGUU